rnacentral:rRNA from 1 species
GGGAACUACGAGCCAAGCUUAAAACCCAAAGGACUUGACGGUACCCCAUAUCCCCCUAGAGGAGCCUGUCCUAUAAUCGAUACCCCCCGUUCAACCUCACCAUUUCUAGCAACUCAGCCUGUAUACCUCCGUCGUCAGCUUACCCCGUGAGCGCUAGUGAGCUCAAUGUUUUUUCAACUAAACGUCAGGUCAAGGUGCAACACAUGAAAUGGGAAGAGAUGGGCUACACUUUCUAACAUAGACCACACGGAAGACUAACUAUGAAAUCUAGUCAGAAGG